rnacentral:tRNA from 2 species
GAAAGGAUGACAGAGUGGUUUAAUGUGAUUGUCUUGAAAACAAUGGCUAUGGGCUCGUGGGUUCAAGUCCCACUCCUUUCG